UGACGACGAUGACAGGGAGGAGGCGGAU
rnacentral:sRNA from 1 species